rnacentral:rRNA from 1 species
GUAAGGAAUAUUGGACAAUGGACGCAAGUCUGAUCCAGCCAUGCCGCGUGAAGGAUUAAGGUCCUCUGGAUUGUAAACUUCUUUUAUAAGGGACGAAAAAAGGCUUUUCUAAGUCGUCUGACGGUACCUUAUGAAUAAGCACCGGCUAACUCCGUGCCAGCAGCCGCGGUAAUACGGAGGGUGCAAGCGUUAUCCGGAUUCACUGGGUUUAAAGGGUGCGUAGGCGGGCAGGUAAGUCAGUGGUGAAAUCCUAGAGCUUAACUCUAGAACUGCCAUUGAUACUAUCUGUCUUGAAUAUUGUGGAGGUAAGCGGAAUAUGUCAUGUAGCGGUGAAAUGCUUAGAUAUGACAUAGAACACCUAUUGCGAAGGCAGCUUACUACGCAUAUAUUGACGCUGAGGCACGAAAGCGUGGGCAUCAAACAGGAUUAGAAACCCGUGUAGUCC